rnacentral:lncRNA from 1 species
UAGACCACAGGGAGGCCUGGGAACUGCCUGAGCACCUGCACCACGGGAGAGGCUUGGGUGACACUUGGGCACCUGCACCCAACACAGGUAGCAGUGAUCACAGUGAAAACAUUUUGUUAGCAGUCGUCUGCUUCCUGUCCUGGCAUGAGCAGCAACGGGUAAAGGGCACUCUUGUCAGCUGAGGGGAUGAGUGGGGCUCUGCCCAGCUGGUUGGAGACUCCAGCAGGUUUGCAGGAGGAGACGGAAGAGCAAGGAGUGGAGGCAAAAACUGCUGCCAAGAUCCUGUGGGAAAACAGGAACCCAAAGAAGGAACUCCAAUGGGAAACUAAUUUAGACAACAAUGAUCUUAAAGUUUUUGCUCCUUCGAGACUGUUGAAAAGAACUCCCACGAGUGAACAAAAGACGCCUGGCCGAGGACACUCCAGAGUGCUGUCACGAGGGUUCCCUGCAGUUUUCAGAAACUUGGAGCAUGUGGCCACAGCGGCUUGCACGUGAUUCAUACGGCACAUCUUGUCACCAUGUAAAUGUUUAUCAGCAGAGACAAAGACCAGAAGAGCAACCUUGGAAAGAGCUAAAUAUUCCGAUGUUCCAGCAUUUUCCCCUCUGGUUUGUAUUGUGAAUUUUUAAAAUCUCGAUUGACAAGU